rnacentral:sRNA from 1 species
GGAUGUGAGGGUGAUCUGACUGCGACAACUGUCCCCCCAUUGAUCACAGGGUUGAUUCGGCUGAUCUGGUUGGCUAGGCAGGUGUCUCCUUCAUCCCUAACCUCUCCAUGUGCGCCCCAAUAGAGGAGGCCCAUUAUAUGAGUAGCUGCACUCCCCUGCUAGAACCACCAAACAAGCUCUCAAGAUAUUCAGCAAUGUAUAGGGUGUGUGUGUGCGUGUGUGCGUGCGUGCGUGUGUGU